GAUUGUGAGGCUUCCCCAGCCAUGUGGAAACAUAUUCGCAGAGCACCCACUAGGUGCCAGUAAAUGUAUGAGAAGUCCUGUGGAAUAAGACUGAAGUUGUCCUUGCCUUCAAGCAACUUGCAAUUGCCUAAGAACACAGUUUAAAACCACAAAACUAAGCCUUGGAAAUCACAUGCUGUCAUUUCUGCGAUCGGUCAUAACCAGUCCUGAUUCCAUGUUAGAGGAGACUACAUAAGGACACAGGUACCAGAAGGGUGAUCAGAGAAGGCAUCUCUAAGAAGGUGGCAGAUGAGCAGAGGGACCCGAACAAAGUGCUUAAGAGAGAGUUGCAGGCCACUUAGAGAAAAGAGACUAACCAGCAUGGGCUACAUCAAAAAGGCUGCCAUCUACUUUCUGCUGGGUAGGGGCACCAGAGAGACUUGUCAGAAACUAGAAGGAAGGUAGAGUGCGAAAUCUGAGUGUUAAUUCCCUGGCUUCAUCAAAGGACACUGGUCUUCACAAGGAAACAGACUACAUGAUUCUCCUUUUGGGCUUCAGUAAAAACCCCCUCCUUUCAUCCCUUAGUCUAGGGAUGGUAAGAGGUCAGCAGCUAAGAAUUCUAGGUUCUUUGUGGUUUUCCCGUAUACAUGUCUUUGAUGAUAGCCCCUUUGGAAAUAAAUUCUCCUAGACUUUU
ensembl:lncRNA novel transcript